rnacentral:rRNA from 1 species
CCUACGGGGGGCAGCAGUGAGGAAUAUUGGUCAAUGGACGCAAGUCUGAACCAGCCAUGCCGCGUGCAGGAAGACGGCUCUAUGAGUUGUCAACUGCUUUUGUACGAGGGUAAACGCAGAUACGCGUAUCUGACUGAAAGUAUCGUAAGAAAAAGGAUCGGCUAACUCCGGUCCAGCAGCCGCGGCAAUACGGAGGAUUCAAGCGUUAUCCGGAUUUAUUGGGUUUAAAGGGUGCGUAGGCGGUCGGAUAAGUUAGAGGUGAAAUCCCGCGGCUCAACUUCGGAAUUGCGUCUGAUACUGUUCGGCUAGAGAGUAGUUGCGGUAGGCGGAAUGUAUGGUGUAGCGGUGAAAUG